rnacentral:miRNA from 3 species
AAAUUCGUAUCUAGGGGAAUA